UACAGAGGGUGCAAGCGUUGUUCGGAAUUAUUGGGCGUAAAGGGUGCGUAGGCGGUUUGGUAAGUCUGAUGUGAAAUCUAUGGGCUCAACUCAUAGUCUGCAUCGGAAACUGCCGGGCUUGAGUGUGGGAGAGGUGAGUGGAAUUCCUGGUGUAGCGGUGAAAUGCGUAGAUAUCAGGAGGAACACCUGUGGCGAAAGCGGCUCACUGGACCAUAACUGACGCUGAUGCACGAAAGCUAGGGGAGCAAACAGG
rnacentral:rRNA from 1 species